UGCGUAGGCGGCUUUCCAGGUCUGAUGUGAAAUCUCACGGCUCAACCGUGAAAUUGCGUUGGAAACCGGAAGGCUUGAGUGUGCUAGGGGUGUGUGGAACUUCCUGUGGAGCGGUGAAAUGUGUUGAUAUGGGAAGGAACGCCGGUGGCGAAAGCGACACACUGGGGCACAACUGACGCUGAGGCACGAAAGCUAAGGUAGCGAACG
rnacentral:rRNA from 1 species